AUUGAACGCUGGCGGCAAGCCUUACACAUGCAAGUCGAACGGCAGCAUGGAGAGCUUGCUCUCUGAUGGCGAGUGGCGAACGGGUGGGUAAAGCAUCGGAACGUACCGUGUAGUGGGGGAUAACGUAGCGAAAGUUACGCUAAUACCGCAUACGCACUGAGGUGGAAAGCAGGGGACCGUAAGACCUUGCGCUAUACGAGCGGCCGAUGUCAGAUUAGCUAGUUGGUAGGGUAAAGGCCUACCAAGGCGACGAUCUGUAGCGGGUCUGAGAGGGUGAUCCGCCACACUGGGACUGAGACACGGCCCAGUCUCCUACGGGAGGCAGCAGUGGGGAAUUUUGGACAAUGGGGGCAACCCUGAUCCGGCCAUGCCGCGUGAGUGAAGAAGGCCUUCGGGUUGUAAAGCUCUUUCGGCCGGGAAGAAAUCGCACAGGCUAAUACCCUGUGUGGAUGACGGUACCGGCAUAAGAAGCACCGGCUAACUACGUGCCAGCCGCCGCAGUAA
rnacentral:rRNA from 1 species